rnacentral:rRNA from 1 species
UACGAAGGGGGCGAGCGUUGCUCGGAAUUACUGGGCGUAAAGCGCACGUAGGCGGAUUGUUAAGUCGGGGGUGAAAUCCUGGAGCUCAACUCCAGAACUGCCUUCGAUACUGGCGAUCUCGAGUUCGGGAGAGGUGAGUGGAACUGCGAGUGUAGAGGUGAAAUUCGUAGAUAUUCGCAAGAACACCAGUGGCGAAGGCGGCUCACUGGCCCGAUACUGACGCUGAGGUGCGAAAGCGUGGGGAGCAAACAGG